UACAGAGGGUGCGAGCGUUGUCCGGAAUCACUGGGCGUAAAGGGCGCGUAGGUGGCGACCCAAGUCGAUGGUGAAAGCUCGCCGCUCAACGGCGAGUCGGCCACCGAUACUGGGUUGCUGGAGCACUGUAGAGGCAGAUGGAAUUCCGGGUGUAGCGGUGGAAUGCGUUGAUAUCGGAAGGAACGCCGGUGGCGAAAGCGACACACUGGAUCUCUUCUGACGCUGAGGCGCGAAAGCCAGGGGAGCAAACGGG
rnacentral:rRNA from 1 species